rnacentral:rRNA from 1 species
UACGGUGGGGGCAAGCGUUGUUCGGAAUUACUGGGCGUAAAGGGCUCGUAGGCGGCCAACUAAGUCAGACGUGAAAUCCCUAGGCUCAACCUAGGAACUGCGUCUGAUACUGGAUGGCUUGAAUCCGGGAGAGGGAUGCAGAAUUCCAGGUGUAGCGGUGAAAUGCUUAGAUAUUGCACAGAACACCAAUUGCGAAGGCAGCUCGCUAAGCUGUAACUGACGCUGAGGCACGAAAGCGUGGGGAGCAAACAGG